GGGGGGGGGGGGGGGGGGGCGGGGGGGGGGGGGGGCGGGCGGGGGGGCCGGGGGGUGGGGGGGUGCGCGGGGGGCGCGGGGGUGGGUGCCACGUGAGUGACGUGCCCUUGGCUUGGGGGUGACUUCCUGAGACUGGGGCUACGACCGGGGCGUUGCUCCUGCGGCCUGGUUGUUGUGUGAAAUUUUCGGCGGUUGGGGAUGGACUCGCGGCUUAUCCGCUUGUUGGUGGGGUAGUGGCUUACCAAGGCUUUGACGGGUAGCCGGCCUGAGAGGGUGACCGGCCACAUGGGGACUGAGAUACGGCCCAGACUCCUACGGGAGGCAGCAGUGGGGAAUAUUGCACAAUGGGCGGAAGCCUGAUGCAGCAACGCCGCGUGCGGGAUGACGGCCUUCGGGUUGUAAACCGCUUUCGCCUGUGACGAAGCGUGAGUGACGGUAAUGGGUAAAGAAGCACCGGCUAACUACGUG
rnacentral:rRNA from 1 species